AGUGAACGCUGGCGGCAGGCCUAAUACAUGCAAGUCGAACGGCAGCACAGUAAGAGCUUGCCCUUACGGGUGGCGAGUGGCGGACGGGUGAGGAAUACAUCGGAAUCUACUAUUUCGUGGGGGAUAACGUAGGGAAACUGACGCUAAUACCGCAUACGACCUACGGGUGAAAUCAGGGGAUCUUCGGACCUUGCGCGAUUCAAUGAGCCGAUGUCGGAUUAGCUAGUUGGCGGGGUAAAGGCCCACCAAGGCGACGAUCCGUAGCUGGUCUGAGAGGAUGAUCAGCCACACUGGAACUGAGACACGGUCCAGACUCCUACGGGAGGCAGCAGUAGGGAAUCUUGGACAAUGGGCGCAAGCUUGAUCGAGCCAUACCGCGUGAGUGAUGAAGGCCUUCGGGUCGUAAAGCCCUUUUGUUGGGAAAGAAAAGCAGCGUGUUUAUCCAUCGCUGUUCUGACGGUACCCAAAGAGUAAGCACCGGCUAACUUCGUG
rnacentral:rRNA from 1 species